rnacentral:rRNA from 1 species
AGAUUUCCCCAUCCCCUCCUGAUAACAUGCACUUUGGAAGGUACGCAGGGCUGGGCCUGGUUAGUACUUGGAUGGCAGACCAGCUCGGAAUACCAGAGAUCUC